UGAAAAAAACAAAGUGUCAUCAAAUUAUGGAGGGACAAGUUUGACAAGGGGGUAGGAGUGACCUUCCCCCCAAACACAAGACUGAGGGGUAAACAAUGCAGCACGUUUCUCAUGCACACGAGACAAUACAGGUAAAUACAGGUAAAUACAGGUAACAAAGAGUAACAGUUGUUGAAUCCAAUACAUGUCUAUCCAAUUAUCAGAUCUCUGUGCCCAAAUGCAACACUGCUAUUCUUCUGAAUAUAUGUUUUUCUCUCUUUCCCAAUACUCCAUAUAAGUGUAUAGAUAUUGUAAUGGUGUGUAAUGGUUAUUUUCAUUCCCACGAUAUUUUUGCCCAAUUAACCAACCCCUUGAAUUAGUAAAUUUAAGAUGGACCACAUCAUUAAAUACACUAAAUUUCUCUGUGUUAAUUUUUCAUGUUUCAAAAGAGGAAAAAUUAUUUUCUCAAGCCAUUGGGCAAAAAUAACAUUGGUGUUGAAAUUCACCUGGUGUACAGUCAGAUCACAAAAGAAAGUGAGUGUUAACAGACUUCAUCUGUGUCCGUAUCAUUUCACCUUUAUAUCUCUAACCAAACUACAACAGUGUCUAUUUACAGAAUAUAUCUCUAGAGUAUAAGCCUUGUCUCAAAUAUGCAGGCAGUGACAUUUCUCCUUAUCAUGAAAUACAUUCACAGUAAUUCAGUCAUCCGGGUCAGUUACAGACCCUAACAGCCAUUCUGAUUGGUUGCUUCCAAAUAGUGCUGUCUUUGUAUAAAAAUUAAAGUUUCUUUGUUCUGAUACAAAAGACAUCUGGACAAAAUACACCAAAAUAAAAGGGAAGCCAAAAAAAAUCAAAACAUGACACUGUAAGCUCAAUACCUCCUUCUGCGGGUUGGCCCACUAAAAAAAAACGAAGUCA